rnacentral:rRNA from 1 species
GAUGAACGCUGGCGGCGUGCCUAAUACAUGCAAGUCGAGCGAACAGACGAGGAGCUUGCUCCUCUGACGUUAGCGGCGGACGGGUGAGUAACACGUGGAUAACCUACCUAUAAGACUGGGAUAACUUCGGGAAACCGGAGCUCAUACCGGAUAAUAUAUUGAACCGCAUGGUUCAAUAGUGAAAGACGGUUUUGCUGUCACUGAUAGAUGGAUCCGCGCCGCAUUAGCUAGUUGGUAAGGUAACGGCUUACCAAGGCAACGAUGCGUAGCCGACCUGAGAGGGUGAUCGGCCACACUGGAACUUAGACACGGUCCAGACUCCUACGGGAGGCAGCAGUAGGGAAUCUUCCGCAAUGGGCGAAAGCCUGACGGAGCAACGCCGCGUGAGUGAUGAAGGUCUUCGGAUCGUAAAACUCUGUUAUUAGGGAAGAACAAAUGUGUAAGUAACUAUGCACGUCUUGACGGUACCUAAUCAGAAAGCCACGGCUAACUACGUG